AGUGAACGCUGGCGGUAGGCCUAACACAUGCAAGUCGAACGGCAGCACAGUAAGAGCUUGCUCUUACGGGAGGCGAGUGGCGGACGGGUGAGGAAUACAUCGGAAUCUACUUUUUCGUGGGGGAUAACGUAGGGAAACUUACGCUAAUACCGCAUACGACCUACGGGUGAAAGCAGGGGAUCUUCGGACCUUGCGCGAUUGAAUGAGCCGAUGUCGGAUUAGCUAGUUGGCGGGGUAAAGGCCCACCAAGGCGACGAUCCGUAGCUGGUCUGAGAGGAUGAUCAGCCACACUGGAACUGAGACACGGUCCAGACUCCUACGGGAGGCAGCAGUGGGGAAUAUUGGACAAUGGGCGCAAGCCUGAUCCAGCCAUACCGCGUGGGUGAAGAAGGCCUUCGGGUUGUAAAGCCCUUUUGUUGGGGAAGAAAAGCAGCAGGUUAAUACCCCGCUGUUCUGACGGUACCCAAAGAAUAAGCACCGGCUAACUUCGUG
rnacentral:rRNA from 1 species